ensembl:lncRNA
AUGUUUUUGCAGAAGUCAUCCCACUCUCAGCCGUUAAAAAGACCCUAUACGCUGGAGGAGGCGGUUUCUGUCCCCCCGCUGGCCAGCUUCUUCCCCUGCAAACUGUGUGGAAAAAUGUUCUAUAAGAUUAAAUCCAGGAACGCUCACAUGAAGAUCCACCGUCAGCCUCAGGAGGACUGGACCGACCGGCAGCUGCAGCACCAGCUCCUCACGCAGAGUCUGGCUCUCGGUCGUCCCAACAACCUCGUACCCAGCCCAGGAAGUAGCCGGCUCCAACCCCAGGCUUCAGCCCUGACCUUCUCCUCCUGUGGCCUUGUGCCAAACAGCAACAUAGCCAAAAGCAUCGCCAUUGCUCCGAAUAACAUCAGCUUCCUUGAUCCUAAUGCUGCUGUGGCGUUCAGCAACACCACUCCUCCAAACUCCCACUUAAUCACCAUCAACAGCAGUGAUGUGGGCGAGUUGAAUCGAAAAGAUCCCUCCGCCGUUUUAUCCCUCCACCAGCCAUGGGGGUCAUUUGGACACUCUCCUGACCUCUCCACCUUCUACUGUCUCACAGAGGGAAAGGAAGAUGGAGGCGGAGGGGUGGAGGGAAAAGAGACAAUCAGCUGGCAGUAGUCUAACUUUUUCCAGAAACGCAUUACUACCGCAAGCCUCGAAAGCGAAAUCAAACUGCGUGCAUUUAAGUUCAAACUCAAGUAUUUUUUAAACUUUUUGAAGCAUUUAAAAACCAAACAGACGGUCCUUCUUGUUAGAUUUUUGUUGUAGAUUUUGCACGUACUUACGUAACAUAUUUAACGUUUCUCAUGAAAUUGAGGUUUUAAUAAAAUUGUGGCUUUUUCAUUUCUAUUUUUUUUCUGGCCUUCCACACAUGGAUAAUAAAACCAAAUAAAAACAAUAAUAGUGACAGUUGGGCUGCACUUUUGGUUCUUUUUAAAACACGGAUACGUUUUUUUUUUUCUACCUUGCUGACAGCUUCGCUCGCCGACUGCAAAACUUCCUCAGAUUUGACGCGUCGGCAAACAAAACUGUCAGCAAGGUAAAAAAAAAACCUUUUCUGUGUUUUAAAAAGAACCAAAAAUGCCGUUAGAAACCAGACACAGCAAUGUAGCGUCAUGAAGGGACUGUUUUCCACCUAAAGGUCAUCUCCCCCUCUCUCCUCAUGAAGAACUAAUCUCCCUGAGAUAUGGCUCAAGGCCUUUGAUGCCUCUGCAUCUAAACUGUUUUAACUAGCUAUUUGCCUCCCCCUACAGCUCAGGAGAAGAUCAGAAGAACUCUAUUAAAUAAUAAUCAAAUAACUUUGUUAGUCCAAAUAAUCAUGUAAAGCUCAAUGUUAAAUCAAUCUGUGAAAUUAUAUAAUAAGUAAUAUAACUUUAAACUACACACUAGACUGAUCACAAGUAAUGUUAAAAUCACAUGACAUAUUCCUUUUGCCUCUCCAAUCAGAGCUUUCCUUUUUGACGCGCGGCUUGGUCUGUGCGGUGUUUAUUUUUGUUGUCAAAUUCUGAUUCGACCAUGAAUCAAAGCAUCUGAAUUAUAAAACUAAUUCCCACGUCACCCUUAACUCAGUUCAACGUUCUAGAGUAUUGAGCCGGCCACUCGUAACUUUUUAACCACAAAGAACCUAACGACAAGCUGGAUAAUAAAACCUGUUGCAAGCUACAACUGACGCAACGCUCCUUCAGAGUAAAAGCUGAACUCACUGACCCUUCAGGGUCCCACUGACGCUGUCAAACACCAGUUGCUUACCUGGAGGCAAUCCCAAGACUAGUCUGUUGUACCGUACGCUGUUUCACCGGCUCCGGUACCAAAGGGGAGCCAGAGAAAAUCUGGGCCUCUCUGCUUAGGUUGCUGCCCCCGUGUCCCGACUCCGGAUAAGCGGAAAAACACAUUAAAAAAAACUCCAAAAUCAACAUUUAAAAUGUUCAAUUUUGAUCUACAAAACUAAAAAUACAAGCAAACUUCUUUAUUUAUGCCAAAUUGAUCAAUUUUUCCUCCCCCUUUGUAGCAUUUUUUUCACAUGAAUGUUAUAUUUCAUAAACCUCAGACAAAGUGGCAAAUAUUCUCACAAUGCACUAUGGGUAGCAUGUGGAAUCAGCUUACCCUAAUUCAGUUCAAUUCAAUUCAGUUUAUUUAUAAAGCACCAAAUCAUGACAAGUGUCAUCUCGAGUGCUUCACACAGUAAACAUUCCAAUUCAGGUCAGUUAAUUAAGCCAAUCAGUAAAAAGUUUCCCAUAUAAGGAACCCAGCAGAUUGCAUCGAGUCACUGACUAGUGUCAGAGUCUUUACAGCAAUCCUCAUACUAAGCAAGCAUGCAGCGACUGUGGGGAGGAAAACUCUCUUUUAACAGGAAGAAACUUCCAAGAUCCUGGCUCAGUAUAAGCAGCCAUCUGCCACGACUCACUGGGGAUCGAGAAGACAGAGCAGACACACACACACACGCGCGCGCACACACACACACACCAAGUAAUGUGUCUAUAGUUACAUUGUGAUUUCUUAGUAAAUAUUCUAUUUGGCGAGAGAUAAACUUUAUUGUAUUUAUCCUAGUGGAUCUAUAAUUAAACGGGUAAACUAGUAGUAGCACAUCCAACGUCAAAGAGAGUAAAAUGUUAUUAUCAGGAGAGGGAGAAUGUUUAAGUGGUUAGCAUCAGUGUUCAAGUCGAUGGCCCCCUCCAUGACGGCACCACUGUCAUGCUCUGUGCUGUACUAACCAUCUUGGUCUGAGCUUUGUUUGCAGGUGGGUGUGUCUGGAGAGCUCAGCUGUAUCAAAUCAGCUCAUCAGCGGUCAGGGGACUUAAGGAGCAGCAGGACAACUCACCAGUGCCAGAUGAUACUCAGUCUUGGGUGGUUUCUAGCCCUCCUCCUGAUCUUUCUGAAAGGUAUCAGAACUUGUUAGUCUGCCCAUUCCUUCCCUUCGGGCAGUUAACUUGCUCUGCCCUCCUGAUCCCUCCAGGUUCCAGUCAUCUAUUCAUAUUCGCUUUCUACAAUAUCACCGGAACCAUCAUCAAUAUUCCAGUCCCGCCAUUUGCCCCUGAUUGCCUGCUCUCCGCCACUCACCGGCCCACCUGCAGCUCCUCGGUCUCCCUGCUCAGCCAGACCUGGCAUACCCUCCCCGAAGAACCCGGAUCAUCCAGGAAACCGUAAGCCCUUUGCAUUCCUCAUCAUCCUCUCACGUUGUUCCAGACUCUGACCUCUCUUCCUCUCUCAGACCCCCACGGAUCCAUUUCCGGUCCAUCGGAAGCUACCUCUACCGCACUAUACAAAAUAAGCCAUUUUUACUUACCUUCCGACUCCUGGUGGUGAUUCUUCAUGUCGUGGGUUAAGAAAUUGCCCUCAAACAUGACAACCACAGCUCAGCAGAACAUCACUGUAGCUUCUUUUGGGGAGAAAAACACUUAGAGAGAAAUACAGUUAACAGCUGAAAUAGCAGAAAAUAAAGCAGUUUAACAAUGCAGUAAAAGAAAGUAGUAGAGUGUGGAAAGUGGUCGGUGUGUCCUCCAGCAGUCUAAGCCUAUAGCAGCAUAACUACAGAGAUGACUCUGGAUAACCUAGCCUUUUAGAUGGAGGCAUGUUUCUAGCCUGGCCUGCCAGACCCGUCCUCUGUCUACAUAGAGAACUAGUCUGGUUACUCACAGGCAGAGAGGCACAUGAGGGGCGGGACUAGCCAGCUCAAAAAUAACCAGUCAGAAAAAAGGAGGAAAUGCAGACUGUACGGUGUGACACUAGUUUUUUAGUUGUAGUCAAAAAUGGCAUCUGGCAACGGCGCAAACAUCUUUCUUUAGAAGAUAGGCUUUUGGCGCUUCUACUUGUUGUGGUAUUAAAGACAUGUCCAAGUCAUUUAGAAGAGAGGAAAGAGCUGCAGCAAACUCCCCUUCAGUCGCCAUGUUCAUAAGAAACUCAGCGUUGCAGUGUGUGUGUGUGUGUGUGUGUGUGUGUGUGUGUGUGUGUGUGUGUGUGUGUGUGUGUGACGUACACUGCUCAGCGCUGAUUGACUUGGUCGGAAUUCUCAGGGGGUGGGGUUAUUUGAAUAGAAGAGUUCCCAGACACAAUACUUUCCAUAAUGAAGCAUGGGGCUGGCUGGUCAGGCUAGCAAGUAGGAGAAAGGACAAGGGAGAACCGUCUUUACCAACUGUAUUCUCCACUGCACACUCCACCUCCCUCUCUUCCCCCACUCAUUCAG